rnacentral:rRNA from 1 species
ACAUGCAGUCGAGCGGAUGAAGGGAGCUUGCUCCUGGAUUCAGCGGCGGACGGGUGAGUAAUGCCUAGGAAUCUGCCUGGUAGUGGGGGAUAACGUCCGGAAACGGGCGCUAAUACCGCAUACGUCCUGAGGGAGAAAGUGGGGGAUCUUCGGACCUCACGCUAUCAGAUGAGCCUAGGUCGGAUUAGCUAGUUGGUGGGGUAAAGGCCUACCAAGGCGACGAUCCGUAACUGGUCUGAGAGGAUGAUCAGUCACACUGGAACUGAGACACGGUCCAGACUCCUACGGGAGGCAGCAGUGGGGAAUAUUGGACAAUGGGCGAAAGCCUGAUCCAGCCAUGCCGCGUGUGUGAAGAAGGUCUUCGGAUUGUAAAGCACUUUAAGUUGGGAGGAAGGGCAGUAAGUUAAUACCUUGCUGUUUUGACGUUACCAACAGAAUAAGCACCGGCUAACUUCGUGCCAGCAGCCGCGGUAAUACGAAGGGUGCAAGCGUUAAUCGGAAUUACUGGGCGUAAAGCGCGCGUAGGUGGUUCAGCAAGUUGGAUGUGAAAUCCCCGGGCUCAACCUGGGAACUGCAUCCAAAACUACUGAGCUAGAGUACGGUAGAGGGUGGGUGGAAUUUCCUGUGUAGCGGUGAAAUGCGUAGAUAUAGGAAGGAACACCAGUGGCGAAGGCGACCACCUGGACUGAUACUGACACUGAGGUGCGAAAGCGUGGGGAGCAAACAGGAUUAGAUACCCUGGUAGUCCACGCCGUAAACGAUGUCGACUAGCCGUUGGGAUCCUUGAGAUCUUAGUGGCGCAGCUAACGCGAUAAGUCGACCGCCUGGGGGAGUACGGCCGCAAGGUUAAAACUCAAAUGAAUUGACGGGGGCCCGCACAAGCGGUGGAAGCAUGUGGGUUUAAUUCGAAGCAACGCGAAGAACCUUACCUGGCCUUGACAUGCUGAGAACUUUCCAGAGAUGGGAUUGGUGCC